rnacentral:lncRNA from 1 species
UGAAACUUCCUAUAUGCAUAAUUAUUAAGCCAAAGUGAUGAUUAGGGGAGACUAAGACUGUGCAUUCUGCAUAUAAUUAAUGUAGGUGCGGGACUUACAAUCCUUAAAGUGACACUUAUAGCAACCAAAAGAGACACAAGAGGUGCAUUCUAUAUUUCGGAUCUAUUGUACACCCUCUGCAGAUUUUGUAACUUGCCUUACCUCUCGUAAUGCCAGUCGAGGCA